UGAACGCUGGCGGCAUGCCUAACACAUGCAAGUCGAACGGAAACAGGACGCUGUGAUCUCUUCGGAGUGAACUUGUCGCUGUCGAGUGGCGGACGGGUGAGUAAUGCAUAGGAAUUUGCCUCGAAGUGGGGGAUAGCCCGGAGAAAUCCGGAUUAAUACCGCAUGUGCUCUACGGAGCAAAGUGGACCUCUGAUUUAAGUUCACGCUUUGAGAUAAGCCUAUGUCGGAUUAGCUAGUUGGUAGGGUAAAAGCCUACCAAGGCGACGAUCCGUAGCUGGUUUGAGAGGAUGAUCAGCCACACUGGGACUGAGACACGGCCCAGACUCCUACGGGAGGCAGCAGUGGGGAAUAUUGCACAAUGAGCGCAAGCUUGAUGCAGCAAUGCCGCGUGUGUGAAGAAGGCCUGCGGGUUGUAAAGCACUUUUAUCGGGAAAGAAAAACACAGGGUUAAUACCCCUGUGCAUUGACGGUACCCGAAGAAUAAGCACCGGCUAACUCA
rnacentral:rRNA from 1 species